rnacentral:tRNA from 1 species
CGGGAAGUAGCUCAGUUUGGUAGAGCACCUGGUUUGGGACCAGGGGGUCGCAGGUUCGAAUCCUGUCUUCNAA